UGCAGGGCUGCACCUCACAGCAACAGUGUGUGUGUGUCCUGCGCAUUGUCUCUCCCAGUGCUCUGCACAUAGUACUCUGAGGGCGUUUCUCUAGCCCAUGGCCCCACAAGCCAAAGACCGAAAGAAAGAAGCCAUUGACCACUGUUAGGAAGAUUUGGGAAACAGUUUGAAGGCUGAUGUUUCUCUGCUCCUGGAAAUAAGAUGAUUCAGAGGCCAUGGAAGGGGAAGGUGGAGAGGCAACUCAGACCAAGAGUAAGUUAGGGGUGGUGAGAGCCGGGCCGGCAGAGCCCGGCAGUCAGUGAGGGGUGCUGAGGGUGAAGUGGGUCAGGAACCGGCAGGAGAGAGUCUCAGGCGGGGCAGGUACUGCCUGGCUGCAGUCAUAAGAACAUUCGGAGUCACCAGCAGUGCCCUGCGAAGGCCACCGGGAGCUGACUGCGUUCUUUGAAGAAUUGUCAUUUUCACUCUAUACGUGUUGAGUGACGAGUAUGAGAAGCAAAUGAUGGCAACGCGGAGAGAGAACAGAGAAAGUGGAGUCAGGGGGAGAGACAGAGAGAUACAUCAAUUGGCUGCCUCUGCACAUGCCAGGGCCGGAGAUUGAGCCUGCAACCCAGCUUGAGCGGGAGGAAGAAAUAACCUAAAAUGGGCACUUGCCGUCCACCUCCGCAGUCCCUGAGACAUCUGUGAUGCCAACUUUAUCCACAUUCAACCACCUGAAGCAGCUGUGCCAUUUGGAAGGAGAAAGAGGAGAUGAAGGAGAAACAGGAAGUCUUACUGGGAGAGGCAGGCGACUGCCCAGCAGGGAGGGGCAGAAGCGAGCUCCGGACUCUGCUGGCCUCCGUGGUCUCACUGCCUUUUGAGGGCAAGUUCAGUCACCGACCCUCUGCCGCCUCAGAACCUUCCUUCCAUGCUGCGAUUAGAGACCAGGCGUCUAAUUUCCAUUUUCUUCUUCCUAAUGGACUUGAUUUUUAAAUGAUGAAUGAAACACUUCUUCUCAAAUGAACAUUGUAAAAUAGGAUUGGUAUUUGGAGGGGUGUGUCUCCCAUUCUCAAGCCCGGGGAAACUAAGCGAAGGGAACGCUCCAAACCCGAGGAACCACGCUCAGCGCCUGCCGGAAGCAGCGUGAAGCACAUCCGGGACGUGUGUAGAUGCGCGUGGCACUCGCUUAGGGACAGAAGAGAAGGGCCAGCAUGAAGAAAGCAGUGUUACUGCAGGCGGGGCAGUCCGUUGUCACCGAGAGCUGGCUGCUUUGUGCCCCAGGAACUGCUUUGUUUAGAGAUCCGUCACCUGCAGAUAGAAAAGAGGAAGUCUUUUUAAGAUUGUGUUUUUGACAUCAUAACAUCAAUCAAAACCAGGGGAUUGCAUCCCGUGGGAGUGACACCCCGUGCGGCACCUGCUGCCUGUGCUGACACACUCGGUUGCCUGACUUGGCAGGCAUUGUUGAGGACACUGUUCUCUUCCUAAAGUGUCACUUCCAGUGGCACAUAACGGGCCGUGAAGUUCUUGUGGCUUCGAGGGCUCGGACCCUACAGCACGCCCCACCGUCUUCCCUCUCCAGGAGGCGAAGAACAGGCCAGCCGGCUGCCUCUCCUCCGCUCUCAGGAUGGAGACGUAAUUGGUCUCUCCUCCUCCUCUCAGUGCUCUCUGAACAGUAAUGUUUUACUCGCAGUCGCCCCCGCCGCCCACGGCUCCAUUAGCUGGGAGGCUGCCGGCUCUGACUCAGGCUCCUGCCGCCUGUUCUCCUGAGAGGCAGCUCCGUUACUGCCUGCAACACCCACCGCGCCCGCCUUGGCGGCUUCACAGCUCUCGGGGGUUCAGAGGCGGAAGGAAUAGCCGAAGGAAGCGCGGCACAAAGCAGAGACCUCACUUUUAUUUACAUCCCAGCGUUCUCAGGGCGAAGAGGGAAGCUUUGCUCCCUGGUGGCUCAUCAAUGCUGACAACAUCCCUAGAGGCAGGGAAGUGACAGGACUGUUAUCCUGGUUACAGAGGAGACACGGAACCCGGAGAGGUUAGCAGUCUGUGCAAGGUGACAGUUAUUGGCGCCUGGAGAGAGAGAUGUACACAAACCCCGUUCCUGGCUCCCAGCCCGCCGGGGUCAGCGUGGCCUGCGUGCAGCUCCACCGGCCUCUGCAGUGACGGCAUCGUCCGUCGGCUGCUGUGAGGGGUGGUCAGGUCACUGCCCGUCCUCCGUGGAUGGCCUCUCCAGUGCUCUCACCCCGCUGUCCACGCACAGGGCACUCGGCACCUACAGCUGUCCCAGGCCUUCAUUUGCUCCUGGCGUCGGCUCUCCCCGACGGACCAUAUAGCUGCAGGCCAGCAGGGACCCCUCUGUCGUGGGCACCGUCCGCUCCGGGGCCAGUGCAGUGUUGGUGAAGCAUAGUGACCUCCAUGUUGUAUAGAAACUGCUGUUUGUAACUCCGCUAUUGUUAGAUAGUCCCUUGUUCUGUAAACUCUGUCAUUGUCAACUCUGUCAUUUUUGGACAAUCUCUUAUUCUAUAAAAUAACUUUGUUUUUUAGCUCAAAUAAUAGAGAAGAUAAAAACUGUCAGAUCUUGCAAGCUAGCCAUCUAAUGUAAUAGACUAAUACUGAUAAUAUUCCCAUAUUCUCAUGCCAAGUGUUUGUUCAUUAUGUAUCCAAGGUUACAAACGGUCUGCAAAAAUAACUUACACAAAACUCUUUGUAAAGUGUACAGAAGGUCCGGAAAAACCAUAUUUGGGAGACAAAGAACUGGAAGCAUAUAAAUAAAAAAGCUUCCUCCAUGUUUGUUGCUCGGAAUUUGACAGAGAUAUUCUGC